UGUGUAGGCGGUUGCUUAAGUUUGGUGUGAAAUCUCCCGGCUCAACUGGGAGGGUGCGCCGAAUACUGAGUGACUCGAGUGCGGGAGAGGAGAGUGGAAUUCCUGGUGUAGCGGUGAAAUGCGUAGAUAUCAGGAGGAACACCGGUGGUGUAGACGGCUCUCUGGACCGUAACUGACGCUGAGACACGAAAGCGUGGGUAGCAAACAGGAUUAGAUACCCUGGUAGUCCACGCCCUAAACGAUGCAUAUUUGGUGUGGGCAGUUCAGUCUGUCCGUGCCGGAGCUAACGCGUUAAAUAUGCCGCCUGGGGAGUACAGUCGCAAGGCUGAA
rnacentral:rRNA from 1 species